GAGGAUGGUUCAGGGGGUAGUGCGAGCGACCGGGAGCGGCAGAUGAAGCUUCGCUCGCUCACCUCCUGUGUGGCCCGGUUCCUAACGGGCAGCAGACUGGUACUGGCCCGCUGAUCUAUCACACAAAAUUAAACUGGAAAGAAUCUUCUCUACCCCCCAUUGGAUUAUUUGGGAGAACUGUAGACUGAAAUAAAAACACACCACGUGAGAGCUGUGACUUUCAGUUUUAUUUGGGGAUUUACCGAGGACUAUAGCCCAGGACACAGCCUCUCGGAUGGCUCUGAGAAACUGUUCAGAAGGGGGGAAGGGGUGGUCAGCAUAUAUGUGAUUUUGGAGAAGGGUACCUGCAACCAAGCACACAUCUCGCUAGAAGGUUACCGCUAGCCACGGGGAAUAGACAUCUUACUUAAAGAUUUUAGCGCUUUUCCAAGUAUGGGAAGACGCAAGAACUUGUGUUCAUAAAAUUUUCUCCUGAAAAUAUCUAACCGAAGGCUGUUAUGCCAGUUUUCCCAGAGCCCAGAGCACCUCAUUCCUGAUCUCCACCCUGAACCCCUUUCAGGGUGUGUUGAAGAUCAGUGACGGCAGUGGUGGAUGACUCAAUCCUGGUACAGCUGGAUGGCGAGCGAUAUUCUUUGGCUGGCAGAAUUGGUUUAAUCCCACCUAGACCUUUCACCGAGGCACCUCCAGAUCUUGAGUGGGAAAAGCCACAGCACGGAGGGAAGUGGCCUCUCCUAGCUGGCUCCGUGCAGCUGGGCCACAGCCGCCCCAUCUGCCUCUCUCCCUCCUCCUGUCCUUCUAGGGCUCUGGCUUCAGCCACUAGCGUCCUAGAGGCUUUCCACCGAGAGAGACCACAAAACCAAAUCACAUAAGUGGAGAGCAAGGGGGGGCCAGUGCUGAAAGCCAGCAUCGUGGAGAGACAGCUUUCAUCCUGCUCGCUCCAGCCUUGACAGCUAAAAUUAAUCACCUGGGUGACGAAAGUGAUGCAGACGAACAGCAGCCCGCCGAGCAAACCUGGGAGCUCAGAAUCCAUCAGGCUGGGAGGACUGAGUUGGUACACGUGAAACCCUGAGAACCGGCCCCGGCCCACUGAUUGGGCUCAGGCAUGAGACUACGCACAGCUCUGACCAUAUCAGAAGGAACACAAGGUCCAGCCUUUUAUAUGGAGCAUUCCCAGGAGGCAAACCCAGAGGCAUUCUCCCCUCUCCUUUCUCAUUUCACCCGUCCUUGUUGUCACUCCUCUCCAAGGAGCCUGCAAGAAGGGCCUGUGCCCAGAACAGUCAGGAUUUCUACUUCAAGACGUGCCCUGGGACCAUAGUAGGGACAUGGCUUUACACCUUUCCAAAUGCGGUCACAGCCAUCAUCUGACGCCACCCUACAACUGGGAUAAGAAACCACUUUCUCCAAGUCUCGUUCCCCAUCCUGUAGGGCAGGAUCCUGAGGCAUCGCAGGGUGGGAUGCUUGGAGAUGAAGACACUGGGGAAGGCGACCUGCCACGUUGGCCAAUGACACCUGCUUUACUUCCACCAUAAUCGACGCAUCAGAAGAGCAGCCUCAGGCAGGUGCCCAGAACUGGGGGAAUUUCUCUCAAAGAGGAUCACCCUCUGACCAACCAAUAUAAUAUCUAUCUAUCUCCACUCUUCUUCGAAACUGCAUUUCUCAGCACAAACCCACAAACUGGCAGCAUGACCAGUAUCCCUAAGGAAGAGGAAGCCAAGAAGGAGAUGCCUUCAGUCCUCUGCCUGUCACCUGCCAGAGAACCAAGAUGCUUGGUGGAUGGCCUUCCUUUCUCCAAACUGCCAUCAGUUGUGACAUCACUGUCAGCUGUGCCCGGUGUCUAACUUUUCAUCUGUAUCAAUCAGCAUUGAGAGUCCGCCAGGUGCCCAGGUGGAGAGGCUCGGCCCCAGGCUAGUAGCCGGCCUCUCCAGUCCCCCACCCUCUGGCUUCUUAUCAGCUCCAUGCUGUCUCUUUGCAUUAAAGUGACAAGAAGCAGCACAAGGCUGCCGACAGGAGUCUGGAGCUGUAAUUUGCACUGACAUUCACUGGCGUUAUCCACUUAUUGCCUGGCAGGUUGUGGAGUGCCUACAGUGGCCAGGCGUGUCCAAAUGCUCUGUAUGCUUGAACUCAUUGGAUCGUCUUGACAACCCCACAUGGCAGUCUCCUCUUUCUCGAAGUGACUCAAAGGUGUUCCCCACCCGCUGCUUGGAAAGGCAUUGCCCGGCAGGUUCACCGGGUCAGAGGAAAAGCCCUUGGCAUCCGGAACACGGAACACCGGCCUGCAGACGUCAGCAGGAAGCAAGGACGGCCAGGAGGAGGGAAGUGACAACUCCCUGUCGGGCGUGGCGCUUGCGUUGGCAGGCAAAAGAGACCCCCAAAAUGUCAGACACUGCUGGAUCUUGAAGGGAAGGGUAAAACAGGUUAGGAAAAGUGUAAAGCAAUCCUGUCCCUCCAUUCCUAGGACCAAAGACUCGAUGAUCAAAACAGACCCUGCCAGUUUCCAAGGCCCUGGUUUAUUCUUGGUGCACUCUGGAUACUCCUGGAGCAUUCAUUCAUUCAUUCUCACACUCCUGGCUGCCGAAGAUACAAGAUAAUGAAACCCUACGUCCACCCUCAGGAAAUGUUACAAAAAUGAAAGGCGCCUGCGCGAGCACACACGUGACUUCUCCCGGGUAUGAGGAACUCCUUAUCGCGUUGUUCCUUCAGACGGCUGCCUCCUGGUCCAGUCUUGUGCCCAGAAGAUGGUUUUUCUUGGCUCUGGGACUAAAUGGAGUGAACACCUGGUCCAGAUUUGCUUGGCUCUUUCUUCUCUAAGCAACUAAUUCCUGAUGGAAAAUAUGCUUACACCACUUAGACUCACACCAAAGACAAGGGAGAACUUCCAUUUAUCCUGUCGCUUUGAUUUCAUUUCUGCUUCCUGAAGGUGUAGUCAGCCCAGGCAAGCCUCAUCCGGGGCUUCGCGACACAGAAAAGAGUUUGGGCGGGCUGACUGCAUGAUUAUCACAGUGCAACAGAACCUUGGCAGUAGCCUUUUAAGCAG